CCUUUUUCCAAAGUGGUGGCUGCACCAGCUUGCAUUCCCACCAACAAUGUAGGAGGGUUUCCCUUUCUUCACAUCCUCUCCAACACAUGUUGUUUACUGUCU